rnacentral:lncRNA from 1 species
UGUGCCUUGCGGAUGAGAGCUCGUGUUCUACGUCACGUAAUCUACUCGUAGUAUUGUGCAUUUUUAAAGUACAGUGUACUUACUUACCUUUGGGUAAGGUUAGUAUUGAAAGAAAAAAUAAGUAGGACAAAAAGUGAAAAAGAUAACGUUUGCAAUGCUGGUUAUUAAAUUAAUAACAUCUAUUCAUUUCAAGCAUAAAUUAAAAUUAGGAAUAGGAAUAUUCGUUUUAGUUGAAGAGGGCUUAUUCGAAAUAAUAUGACUAAUAGAGCAAUGUAAUAAAAUGGUCAUUAGACAAAUUGAUAAUCAACAAAUGUAACGAAAGAGCCCGACUGACCGGUGAGGAGCUACUACAAUUCGUGAAGAAGACAGUUUCCGAUAAUUUUUCUAUGAGGCUGCAAACGUUAUCAAACAUUUGUUUCAUUGCGAAAGUUUUCUCCGAAAAUUUGGGACCGUAAAAAUCGACAAACUAUUGUUGAUGCCAAUGAUACCAAAAACAAUUAUGGUAACCCUAACGCAAAAAAGGAAACUUAAUAGUACAUGUCUUCGUGGUGUAAUGGUAGCACACUCGGCGCGUAUUCGAGAGGUCCAUGUUCGAGUCCCGGCGAGGGCAUUGCUCAUUUUUCAUGUUGUAGUGAAUAAUUCCAUUACCAUCAGAGAGCAUUCAUUCCAGAGAUGCAUAGCAUCCUGAGAAGGCAGAUCUCCUCAACUGCUUAAGGAAAGGGACAGAAAAUAGCCAAAUCUGGUUUUCUGCCGUGUUUGGCAGCCCAAAAUGUUCUUAACAGGAAUCUAGGCCGUGUAUGCGGCACUUCCCUCAGCAAAAGCUCCCUGAAUACAGGAUCUCAACGAAUUCAGGCUAGCUUAGCUGUGGAGAAUUGUUUCAGAAGUGUAUGAGCGGGACUGUUCACGUUUCCAAAAUAAAGCAUGGAGCUAGACUGAGGACUCUUUGGACCACAGUAUCGUGGAAGUCUCUCGGAUCAAGACCAUCAAGAACUCAUUGUUCUUAAUGGUCAUAUAACUCUAAAAAAACUAUUGAUUCACCAUUUUCUUAUUUCUAGGCUAGCUUAGCUGUGGAGAAUUGUUUCAGAAGUGUAUGAGCGGGACUGUUCACGUUUCCAAAAUAAAGCAUGGAGCUAGACUGAGGACUGUUUGGACCACAGUAUCGUGGAAGUCUCUCGGAUCAAGACCAUCAGGAACUGAUUGUUCUUAAUGGUCAUAUAACUCUAAAAAAACUAUUGAUUCACCAUUUUCUUAUUUCUAGGCUAGCUUAGCUGUGGAGAAUUGUUUCAGAAGUGUAUGAGCGGGACUGUUCACGUUUCCAAAAUAAAGCAUGGAGCUAGACUGAGGACUCUUUGGACCACAGUAUCGUGGAAGUCUCUCGGAUCAAUACCAUCAGGAACUGAUUGUUCUUAAUGGUCAUAUAACUCUAAAAAAACUAUUGAUUCACCAUUUUCUUAUUUCUAAGCUAGCUUAGCUGUGAAGAAAUUUUUCAGAAGUGUAUGAGUGGGACUGUUCACGUUUCCAAUAUAAAGCAUGAAGCUAGACUGAGGACUGUUUGGAUUACAGUAUCGUGGAAGUCUCUCGGAUCAAGACCAUCAAGGACUGAUUAUUCUUGCUGGUUGAUUAACUGAUUGUUAUGGUUACUCUUAAAAAACUAAUGACAUGUUAAGAGCUGAGUUUCCCAACGAGGCCGAAGCGAUCGAUGCUUUGGGCAUAGAUAAAAUUUUGAAAAGGAUCAAUGAGAUAAAGUGUCGAUUGCAGAACAUGCACCAGCGAGUGAUCGACAUACUCAGUAUUCCACUAAUUAUCAGAAAAAUUAUUAAUAAACUUGAUAAUAAAUUAUUUACAAAAUUAGGCAAAGCAACAACUUUGUGUCUGACGUAGAUUUUACUCAAGACUGUCUCUAUUUUGAGAGCACACAGUGCAGGUCCCUUUUCAUAAGGAUCACAGAAACCUGCAACGAAGGCUUAAGGUCAAGUCCUGCUCAUAUGCUGUGAAUAUAGAUGCUACUUGCACGACGUUUUCCUGCUAUUUGAAAUUAAUUCUCUUUGGACGCUUGACUGUGGAAAUCUGUCACGUGAGCCUGAAACGGGUGAGGAUUGGAGGUACGAGGUGCAACGGUUGUAUUGAUACCCAAAAGAAGUAAAGCUAAUGAAAAAGUAGCGCCAUCUGUCAGGAGAAAUAAUAAUGAAAAUUGAAAAAUUAAAUUAAUAGAAAUUUAAAAGCGUUAAGCAGUACUGGGUUGGAAUUAAAGUCAUUAACUAAGCAAGAUAAAUCUUCGUGAAUGUGAAAAGAUUUAAGAGAAUCCAAUUCACUAAUGGAAGAAGCUUUUUUGAUAAUAUCUGCAGAUCCAAAGUCAAAAUUGUGAUUAAAUUUCCAACUAUGAUUAGCUGUCGAAGACUUUGUUAUUCUGUCUGAAUUAAUUGUUUAUUGAUAUAAAGUUGUAUCAUGUAAUAAGGAAGAAGUCAAAUAAAAUAAAUAGAGGG